rnacentral:rRNA from 1 species
UGGGGAAUAUUGGACAAUGGGGGCAACCCUGAUCCAGCAAUGCCGCGUGUAUGAAGAAGGCCUUCGGGUUGUAAAGCACUUUUAUCGGGAACGAAACAUUGUCGGCCAAUACCCGGCAAGACUGACGGUACCCGAGGAAUAAGCACCGGCUAACUCCGUGCCAGCAGCCGCGGUAAUACGGAGGGUGCAAGCGUUAAUCGGAAUUACUGGGCGUAAAGCGUGCGCAGGCGGUUUGUUAAGUCUGCUGUGAAAUCCCCGAGCUCAACUUGGGAAUUGCAGUGGAUACUGGCAAGCUGGAGUACGGUAGAGGAAGGUGGAAUUCCCGGUGUAGCAGUGAAAUGCGUAGAGAUCGGGAGGAACACCAGUGGUGAAGGCGGCCUUCUGGACCAGUACUGACGCUCAUGCACGAAAGCGUGGGGAGCAAACA